rnacentral:rRNA from 1 species
AACGAACGCUGGCGGCAGGCCUAACACAUGCAAGUCGAGCGAACCCUUCGGGGUUAGCGGCGGACGGGUUAGUAACGCGUGGGAAUAUACCCUUUGGUACGGAAUAGCCUCGGGAAACUGAGAGUAAUACCGUAUGUGCCCUUCGGGGAAAGGAUUAUCGCCAAGGAUUAGCCCGCGUUGGAUUAGAUAGUUGGUGGGGUAAGUGGCCUACCAAGUCUACGAUCCAUAGCUGGUUUGAGAGGAUGAUCAGCAACACUGGGACUGAGACACGGCCCAGACUCCUACGGGAGGCAGCAGUGGGGAAUCUUAGACAAUGGGCGCAAGCCUGAUCUAGCCAUGCCGCGUGGACGAUGAAGGCCUUAGGGUUGUAAAGUCCUUUCAGAUGGGAAGAUAAUGACGGUACCAUCAGAAGAAGCCCCGGCUAACUCCGUG